UACAUAGGGCUCAAGCGUUGUUCGGAUUCAUUGGGCGUAAAGGGUGCGUAGGCGGCGCGGUAAGUCGGGUGUGAAAUCUCGGGGCUUAACUCCGAAACUGCAUUCGAUACUGGCGUGCUUGAGGACUGGAGAGGAGACUGGAAUUCAUGGUGUAGCAGUGAAAUGCGUAGAGAUCAUGAGGAAGACCAGUGGCGAAGGCGGGUCUCUGGACAGUUCCUGACACUGAGACACGAAGGCCAGGGGAGCAAACGGG
rnacentral:rRNA from 1 species